rnacentral:lncRNA from 10 species
GAUGAGGCUACCAGGAGAGAACAGAGAAGAAAAGACACUCUGAAAAAGGAAAAGAUGAGAGUUCUUAUGGAAAAAUGUGCCUUGGGAAAAAUUACAAUACUACAGCAAGGAGCACACAGGCCGCAUCUGUCCUGGGGCUCAUUUGUCCUUCUUCAACCUCCUCCACAGUUAGAGGCUCCUGAACUACAAUGGCAACGAUUGAAGAAACUGUUGUUGAAAAGUCCACGCCAAAUUCUCGGUAUGUCACUGAAGACAAGGACAUUUUGGGUAGAACCAGGCUGCUAAUCCACUCUUGCCAGGAGGGAAGAUUUUUUCUCUUUCUGUAGUGAGCAACAACGCCACUCGAUGAAGAAACUGAGGUUCAUGGAAGUUAAAUAACUUGCCCACAGGGCACAACUAGUAGGCAGCUAAGCUAGGACUUCAACUGAGGUCUGUAAGACUUAAAGCACAUGCUAUUCCUGCUCCUCAAUAGCUUUCCUGCUAAGCACCAAGAGACGCUAGGCUGCCAGGAACAUCACAGCAGAGACCACCGUCAAUCAAUGCAUCUCCACCGUCUUUUAGACAUUCUUUUGAAGAAAGAUUUAGCUGCUAAAAGAAAAGAUGAAUAUACAAAAAGGAUAAUACUACCAUAUUUCAUCAUAUUGUCUCGUUUUAAUACAAGAAGACUCAUCCAGCUUAAACAUUUGAUGUUUAAGAAGCUAACCAGCAAGCUGCCCUCUGGGAAUGCAUACCAUCAGGUAUGGAUCAGUGGCCCUGAGAUCAUGUUCAUAACUCAGCAGCUUUGUACAAGCUGUCAAGACUCAGAACAUGGUACCCCAAAGUAUGGCACCUUGGUGUGCUGAGUACUGUGGACUGAAGGACAUCGGAAAUGUCUCAGAAGCUAUGUCUCUUUGACCUUCUCCCAGCCUCCUGUCUCCUACCUGUCUUUCUCCCUUGAAGUGAGUCAUGGCAACCAUAAUUCCUCUUUCCCAAGGUGUGUCACAGAAACUAGAACCCCUCUCCUCCAAGGGAAGCCGUGAAACCUAGAAAGGUCACUCUCUGCCUUCCCCCUUCUCCCUUGAAGACCCUCAUUCCAGAGGGGCCCUGCCCCAUAUUCAGGAGGGUUACACAAAGAGGUUAAGAAGAAUUUGAACAUUCAGGCCUUGCUGGGUUCCCUGCUCAGUCUAUCAGCAUUAGAUCACACCCUUUAGUCCAUCACAUUUCUACACCGCUGUCCAUUCUUCAUCAAACCGAAGAAUAAAAAAAGUUUUCCCUGGGU